UAGGAAAGUCAGAGCGACCUGCGUUUCCCGGCUACGCAAGGGAGCCAGGUGUGUCAGGAUGCCAGUCGAACCUGCGCUCAGACAUGGCUUUGGACAGCCCGGGUCAGGUGAACACACCUGGGAAGAGUCCCGCCCCCUUUUACCCCUUCACCGGCUCCAGCACACGAAGACGCUCACUGCAGGAAUCGCCCGCCAUGGAUCCUCUCCAAACAAAGAAAGUGCGCAAGGUUCCUCCUGGCCUUCCAUCAUCUGUGAGUGCAUUAUCACUUCAUCCGC